UGCCAGGUCGUCUAACUGGAAGGACGCCCGCCUCUGGAGCGGGAUGGUGCUGGUUCGAAUCCAGCCCUGGCAGCC
rnacentral:tRNA from 1 species